GGCCGCCCGGGCCUCAUUACCAUAAUCUGCCUGGCAACAGUCUGCGGCGCCGCGCGCUGAUUGGCUGAAACGCGCCCGCCCGCCAAGACCGGGCGCAAAAGUCGUCAAGAAAAGAGUCGGGAGGCAGGCAGUUCUUCUCAACUCCUCUGGGCAGUUCUGUUAACUUGAAUUAUGGAAGCUAUGGAGUCAAUUUCUUCCUCUACUCUGUAAAACAGUUUCAAUUUCAUUAUACCACGCUGAAAUGUUGGGAUAACAAAUAGUGCAAGAAAAAAAUGUAAGACCAAAUAAAAUUACUUUAUUUCCAACGUCUUAACAGUGAUUUGUACUCAUUUUAGAAAACCAAAGCGUUUUCAUGCUGUUGUAUUUUUAUCUGGGAUAUCUGAGAGCCUCCCUAACAUUUUGAAGACUUGAAACAUUUUAGAACUGACUUGGAUACAAGCGGGUAUUGUGCCAUGUUUUCAUGCAACUAUAUCGUUCUGCAACUGAGCACAAAACAGCGUGGGACUUCAGGGCUGUCCUUUCCUGGCACAUGGGUCAUGUUCUGAAAGUUAUUUGGGGAUAUUUUCUUCCCUUAGCUUGGAAAGACUGAUUCAGGGCAAGUGCACAGUGGAUGUAGAAGGCUGCCAGAUGCAGAAAAGGCAUGCUGCUCUGAUUCAUCAUCUGCAGUAUCUGGAAUCUGAUGUAAUGCCCAUUGUAUUUCCCACAUUUAAUGUGUUCUUUCUGAUGCUCCAGCACAGGCUUUGUUUUUCCAAAAGCCUCGUGCUGCCAGAGUGAGAGAAGCCUUCACAUUAGGUUAAUUUAUUUAUUUCUAGUCCUCAUAGAUAGUCCAAAUAAUUUCCCUGUUCGCCUGUCUGGAACACUGCUGUAACCCUUCACUGAAUCCUCCUUUCUCUCAUCUCCUGGGUCAUCAGGUCUGUAUCUCCAUCUGCAUUGUCUCAUUCGUAUACUGCUGUUUCAGCACUGCCUCUGCUGCUUCUGUCCUGCCUUGCCUAUUUUGUCUUCCCCACGGCCUACACGGCUCGUUUUUCUGGACCGCAGCGCUGUCUCCCACGCAAGCGUGUGUAUUCUCAUCCUCCCAGCGAGGGCCGUGCUCUCAUUUCAGGCUCCAGCUGGAAAAGGAUGCUGCAACCCCGCCCUGUUUCAUUUAUUUGCAAAUAUCUUUUUGACCCAACUCAUCUUGAGCAUCCCCAUCGCCUGGUAAAACCGCUGUCACAAGUCUUUGCCUUAACAAGCAAGCCCCCAGACCUCCUCCCUCCAGGACCACCGCUCCCUAAAGCUGCUCGGCGACCCUCCAGCCUCCUUUCAGACCGCCAAAGCUUUUCUGUUCUUUUCCUGUCCAUAUCUCUUUGUUGCUGCUUUUGUUGGGGCUGAUUUUUCAUGACGUUCCCCUUCUGAGAGGCAUGUAGAUUAAAACAUGACAAAGAAAAAUGCUCAAGUGCUGUAAACUCAUUUGAGUUAUGUAAGGAGACCGUGCCUCGCUGGCCCUGUUGACCUCUCCAGACUACGUCUGUGCAUGAUAAGUAGGCACUUGCAUCCAGGUUUGCAAAUUAAACUGUGCGUGGAAUUGGGCUGUGCACUGUAGUAUCCAUUGAACUUCCCUUGUGCAAGGCUGAUUUAAAAUACUAAUCUAGAAGAUGGAAGAAAAUGUUGGUUAGAACCUUCUAAAUUAUAUUGCAACUGAAAUGUGAUUACUUUACAUCCUGCAUGGAGAAUACAAAACACGGUGAAGGUAAUGAUAUGAGUUUACUGAUUUAGAAUAAGCCACAGAAAAUUUAAUUAAGAUUGCUUCAUGUAAAACAUACAAAUGUAACAAAAUGCUCCUGUUUUGGUUUCCAGAGUCAUUCACCCCAGAGAAGGGGGGGAAAAAAAAGUUUCUUUUUAACAAGGUUAAAAAUUCCCCUUAUUCUGCAAGGAAAAAGUUUCACUAAAAAAGUUUGGCUGUAACUGUGUUUUAAUAGCAUCUACCUAGUAAUCUCAAAAUCGCUUUGACUUAAAACUAAGUGAAAGGUGUACCAUUUCAUCACAUACGUUCACUUUUGACUACCUUUUUUUUUUCUGUCAUUCAUUCCCCAAUAUUAAAUAAAUAUGGUCAGCAGGCAAAAUAAAUGAAAAAAUAAUUUACAUGCCCCAUAACAAUCCUUAUUGUGCCUUUUGUAGGAAGCACGUAGAGUUUUAGGAAAAAGCAGCUUUUCAGUUCCCCAUGAACACCCACUAGAAGCCAUGCCGUGGUAUAUGAAUUGGGAAAGUGUGUUCUGGCUGCAGAAAUGCCUGCGGGAAAAGCACUUUGCCAUUCGCAUGCCACCAUCUCCCUCCUCCAUUACAAAAGGCUGCUGCUUCUGAAGGCGUCUUGAAAUCUGAGUUCAGUAGGAGGGAAAAAUCAGCCACCAAAGUUUGGCGUUUCACAAGAUUGGAGGUAAACUGCUUUUGUUCGCAGGCUUCUCCAGAGCAGGGAACAUUUUUCAUUCUUUCUGUGCACGGCUGCUACAGGGGAGUCGCGGCCCACAGGCGAGGCAGCAGCUUGUGGCAGCAGUAAAUGCCCACGCUCACAGGCAGAUAAGGGAACACGUGAACCAGCGUUUUUUUGCAUUUCAAGACUUUCUAAUUAGAGCAUUUCCCAGAAGCCUGCACUGGACAGAUGUAGUUCAACUUCAAAUCCAGGUCAGCCACUUGAUCUCGGAUUACUGUUCGUUCAGUCCCUACAAACCUCUUCCCCGAGAAGGACGUUCAGCCUUCACGCGAUUAGCCCCGCAGCACUUAGCAGGACAUACCCAGCUGUGGUGGCUGGCGGUUUGCUCAGGUUCGGGUGCCACCAGCAGCCACUCCUGGUUACGUAGGAGCCUUGUCAUUACGGGAGAUACUUGUGCAUCAGCCACACAGUAAGCAAAGGAUAUCUUGAUUUCCUCUCCGUUAAGCAGGCUGGGAUGAUUCCAAACUAUUCAUGAUGUUUGUCGGUAUUUCUGAAUUUGCUAGAAAUAAAAAGCUUGACCAGAAAUAAAUAUUUUCUCUCAGAAUUAGCACUGUAUCUAGGCAUUAUAAUAAAGACUCAUCACAAAGAAUUUAACAGACUUCAGUUUUCUAGAACAUUUUCCUGUGUCCAGCCCUGAAAAAGGACUUGUUAGUACAGGUCCCUCCGACAGCUGUUUUCAAAAAAGAGAGUGAGUUGAUAAAAUCAGGCUUAGCCAGCCUCUGCUGGGAAAGAAGGGAUCCUUCAGAGAUAUUAUUCUUACUUCUGGAUACUGUUAGUUGAUAAAAAAGAAAGGCAACAUGGAAAAAGUUUGGUGAUAAGUUAUGUUUGAUGCUUGAUCUGCUGCCACAUUUUCUGAAAACCAUGUUUGAUAACCUAAUCUAGGUAUAUGCCAACCAUAGAUGCUAUUUACUCGGGCUUUUUGUAAAACAGCAAAAAAUAAAUCCCCUGUCCGGGAAAAUCCACUAUGAAUUUCAAUAUGUACCAAGAUGGUUAGUCUGUCUCCUCCCAGAUGCUCAGAAAUGAAGAAGUUGGGCCCUUCUCAUCAGUGUAGGAGUUAGAGGGAGGUUCCCAGCCACCAAAUCCCCUGCAUCACAGCCACCACGACGUAUCUCCUCAGCAAGCUUCCUCUUAAGGGAAGCUGACAUUUUUGUUCUUGUAGCCUUGACCGGGAGACUCCUCUGGGUGUCACUGAGGACAAGUAAGGGAAUUUUUUGUCAAGGCUUAUUUCUACUUAUUUGUUCUCAUGCCAAGAUUUUUGCGUUGCUUAAAGAGGGGACUUAUUUUUUCUUUCCCCGGUGUUUAUUCUCCUAUGUAUUUAUAGACAGCAGUCAUACCCUCUCCUGGAGUUUGUUUUGUUAGACUACACGAGUCACAUUCCUUUUAUCUUCUCCUGUACAAUAUGUUCUCCAAUCUCCAGUUUGUCUUACUAGCUCCUCUGCUGGAGUGCCAUAACAGAACAUUUGAAAAACAGUGUAAGUUAUGUGAUACAUUUUUUGAAGCAGCUUCAGAAAGCCUUAUUGAUUUUUAAGGAAAGAAAUCUUCCCCUGAAAAAUCUUCAGCUCCUUUCAAGAGAAUAGAUCUCUAAGCUUGUGAGAGCACCCACCAGCCACAGCCCCAUCCAACAGAGCCCAAACUGGAGACAGCAACCAGAACCAUCUGAGAAUCCAGAUCAUCGAGCAACCCCAAGGAGAUGAGGCAGGUCAGUACAGCCAGGAAUGAAACCCCCAGACCACAAUACAGCCCGGCAAGGACAACGAAGGUUAGCCAAAACACAGCAAUCACUAGUCAAUCUGUUGCCCUACAACACAGCCAUGCUCCUCCAGGAUCACUCAGGUGUGCCCAGACACCUGGCCAGCCACCAAACAGAGGUGUUUUCUUCGAAGCAGCGGAUUUACACAAUAAUCUGUGACCUGGGGGAAGAAGUGAUCUGCCAAGCUUUCAGAAUCCCUUUCCAGCUGCAGAGGCUGGUGUUGGUGGAAGGGUUGAAGCAGGCACCUGGAAUGAGCUGGGUUGUCUGAGUAAGAGAUGACUUCUUGCUUCAAGCAGGGCAUGAAGAAAGAGGAAGAACCAGCUGCCUACCUGAGCACACCAAGGAGCUGCAGUGAGGAACAAAAUGUGCUGGAGAUUGUUUAAUACGUAGUUUUCACAGACCUGGAUCAGAAGGCUGUAGUGCAGCCCUGGUACUUUUUUCUCCCAGGAUGAAUGCAGCCAGGACAUCUUACAGCACCCUGGCCUCCAUAGGUGUUGUAGUAGUGGGCAAAUUAUAUUUUAGUGCUGACUGGGUUUUGAGCUCUUUCUUGCGACUUAAGCAUGUUGGAUGAGUUUAAAUCUGAUUCCUCACUAAACCUCAAUACCUCUUGACUAAGAAAGAGAAAACAAUGCACGUUCCAUGCCAACUUCAGACGCAGGUAAACGGUGAUGUUAUUACUAUUCCUCAGGAGUAGUGUUUUUGGACUGUGUAGGCAAUAUCUGAGAAGAGUAGUUUUCACUGACCGUGAUAUUCUGAUAUUCAGAUAGUCCUCCUGCUAAUCUGGUAAAUGGAUACCUGAAAGGAUACCUGGCUAGCACUCAUCACAAAGCGGUAUAUCCACACAGCCCAAGGAUGUCCUGCUCUCAAACUGGCUAUAUUACCUCCAUCACUCUGAUUUACUAGGCACACACAGAAUUACUGCAUUCAGCCAGGAUUACGUAAGGUGGUAUUUCUGCUGGGGUCGGUGUGAGAACACCCUCGGCAGUAUUAGAGGUAUUAACAAAGGCAUGCGUUGGUCGUCACAAACCCACUGUCUUCCUGGAGGGUAGAAGUGCAAAGGGAACCUGCAGUAAAUGUAUAAAGAAAUGGCUUGUUUCUAAUUUGGGGUUUUUAGAGCAUGGUUCUGAUUCUUUGGUCCUUCCUCAGACAAAGCUCCUGUAGAUACAGUAAAAUUAAUUAAGUGACUACGUGCUAGCUGUGCAUUGAAAUCAUUGUAGCAAUACUGUGACAGCUUGUGAACUCCUCAUUUGCUUCCUGUGAAGCAAUCAUUUAAAUCAUUUACUUUUCCAGUUUCAGGUUUGUGUUUGAUUUCCAUUCUCAAAGCUAAGUGGAAAAAAAAAUGCCAAACAUGAAACUGAAAAGUGCAGUUACGCUGCUAACUAAAUCUUGCCUUCGCUUAAUCUUUUUUGACCCGUUCACUUUCUGUCACGGUGGCUGCAGAAACUGUACAAAAUAUUUUACAAAAUACUAUUUCAUAUAAAUAGAGCAACCACAACACUGCAAAAACAUGUUAAAGACACAAUCAAGACAAAAAGACAAUUCAGUAUUCCUUUAAAGCAUGCUGGGGAUCUAUCUCCUUUCAGAACCUUUCAUCAGGUUUUCUUUAACACCUGACAUAUUGGUCGAUAACAUAAAUACAAAAUAAAAAUGAAUGAAAGAGCCCUCUACCGUACAGAAUGCAGGGUUCCUUCGCGAUGAAAUACUCAAUAGUGAAUCAUGCAAUUGUUGGAGAGCUGUUGGCAAGUGUUUGAGUCAAAGGCAAAAAA